rnacentral:tRNA from 1 species
AGCAGGAGGCCGAGGUGAGUCUCCCGCUGUACCGGGAGAUCGUCGGCUGGGCCGCCGAACGCGGCGACCGGGUCCCCGGCCCGGC